rnacentral:tRNA from 1 species
ACUGCGAUAGCUCAGCUGGUAGAGCAUCUGCCCAGUAUGCGGGGGUCGCCGGUUUGGUUCCGGCUCGCGGCG